rnacentral:rRNA from 1 species
CCGCGAGGUGGAGCAAAUCCCUAAAAGCCAUCCCAGUUCGGAUCGCAGGCUGCAACCCGCCUGCGUGAAGUCGGAAUCGCUAGUAAUCGCGGAUCAGCAUGCCGCGGUGAAUACGUUCCCGGGCCUUGUACACACCGCCCGUCACACCAUGAGAGUCGGGAACACCCGAAGUCCGUAGCCUAACAGCAAUGAGGGCGCGGCCGAAGGUGGGUUCGAUAAUUGGGGUGAAGUCGUAACAAGGUACC